UUUAUAUUAUUACAAUGAUUAAUAUUUUUUAUAUACUUUGGUUUAUCAGAAGGAGUAGUGGAUACGGUUUAGGAUCAUUGUUAUAAUAGGCAAAAUUGAUGGUGAUCGUACAUAGUGGCUAGGAAAGGAUAUAAUGGCUACUGUUGCAGUUAUUGGACUCAGUGGAGGAAAGAGACUCUUGAGUUCAUCAUACCAUUACUUUGAUAUUAUAGAAAGGCUUUCUUAUGGCAUUGAUUUUGGAUCCACACACUACCAAAUUGGAUUUAAGUAUUACGACUUUUUCAUCGUAACCAUGAACAUAUUUCAUUUUAUGUUGAGUAUUGGCAAUUGUUCCUUAUGUUAUCAUGUGCUUGGCAGGAUAUCAGAAGAGAGCUUGGAAUGGAAAUAAUUGAGGAACAUACGGUGAUGGAAUAUUCUAAGGUCAGCAAGAAAUGUGAAAAAUGUGGCCAUGGGGAAGCUACCUAUUAUACUAGACAGAUGAGAUCAGCAGACAAAGGGCAAACUACUUUCUACACAUGUACCGGCUAUGGUCAUCCGUCUUAGGAGAAUUAGUGGUUUACCUUAAGGUUAUGCUUAGUUUGGGAGAGAAAAGUGGAAGGAAAAAGAAAGAUAAAGAGUGAAAACUGAGAUGAUUUUUUGGUAAGAGAGAAAA